UACCAGCACCCCGAGUGGUCGGGACGUUUAUUGGGCCUAAAGCAUCCGUAGCCGGUUCUACAAGUCUUCCGUUAAAUCCACCUGCUCAACAGAUGGGCUGCGGAAGAUACUAUGGAGCUAGGAGGCGGGAGAGGCAAGCGGUACUCGAUGGGUAGGGGUAAAAUCCGUUGAUCCAUUGAAGACCACCAGUGGCGAAGGCGGCUUGCCAGAACGCGCUCGACGGUGAGGGAUGAAAGCUGGGGGGAGCAAACGGGG
rnacentral:rRNA from 1 species